CGGCUAACACAUGCAAGUCGAACGGUAGCACAGAGGAGCUUGCUCCUUGGGUGACGAGUGGCGGACGGGUGAGUAAUGUCUGGGGAUCUGCCCGAUGGAGGGGGAUAACUACUGGAAACGGUAGCUAAUACCGCAUAACGUCGCAAGACCAAAGUGGGGGACCUUCGGGCCUCACACCAUCGGAUGAACCCAGAUGGGAUUAGCUAGUAGGUGGGGUAACGGCUCACCUAGGCGACGAUCCCUAGCUGGUCUGAGAGGAUGACCAGCCACACUGGAACUGAGACACGGUCCAGACUCCUACGGGAGGCAGCAGUGGGGAAUAUUGCACAAUGGGCGCAAGCCUGAUGCAGCCAUGCCGCGUGUAUGAAGAAGGCCUUCGGGUUGUAAAGUACUUUCAGCGGGGAGGAAGGCGAUAAGGUUAAUAACCUUGUCGAUUGACGUUACCCGCAGAAGAAGCACCGGCUAACUCCGUGCCAGCAGCCGCGGUAAUACGGAGGGUGCAAGCGUUAAUCGGAAUUACUGGGCGUAAAGCGCACGCAGGCGGUCUGUCAAGUCGGAUGUGAAAUCCCCGGGCUUAACCUGGGAACUGCAUUCGAAACUGGCAGGCUAGAGUCUUGUAGAGGGGGGUAGAAUUCCAGGUGUAGCGGUGAAAUGCGUAGAGAUCUGGAGGAAUACCGGUGGCGAAGGCGGCCCCCUGGACAGAGACUGACGCUCAGGUGCGAAAGCGUGGGGAGCAAACAGGAUUAGAUACCCUGGUAGUCCACGCUGUAAACGAUGUCGACUUGGAGGUUGUGCCCUUGAGGCGUGGCUUCCGGAGCUAACGCGUUAAGUCGACCGCCUGGGGAGUACGGCCGCAAGGUUAAAACUCAAAUGAAUUGACGGGGGCCCGCACAAGCGGUGGAGCAUGUGGUUUAAUUCGAUGCAACGCGAAGAACCUUACCUGGCCUUGACAUCCAGAGAACUUAGCAGAGAUGCUUUGGUGCCUUCGGGAACUCUGAGACAGGUGCUGCAUGGCUGUCGUCAGCUCGUGUUGUGAAAUGUUGGGUUAAGUCCCGCAACGAGCGCAACCCUUAUCCUUUGUUGCCAGCGAUUCGGUCGGGAACUCAAAGGAGACUGCCGGUGAUAAACCGGAGGAAGGUGGGGAUGACGUCAAGUCAUCAUGGCCCUUACGGCCAGGGCUACACACGUGCUACAAUGGCGCAUACAAAGAGAAGCGACCUCGCGAGAGCAAGCGGACCUCAUAAAGUGCGUCGUAGUCCGGAUUGGAGUCUGCAACUCGACUCCAUGAAGUCGGAAUCGCUAGUAAUCGUAGAUCAGAAUGCUACGGUGAAUACGUUCCCGGGCCUUGUACACACCGCCCGUCACACCAUGGGAGUGGGUUGCAAAAGAAGUAGGUAGCUUAACCUUCGGGAGGGCGCUUACCACUUUGUGAUUCAUGACUGGGGUGAAGUCGUAACAAGUAGCCUAA
rnacentral:rRNA from 1 species